rnacentral:lncRNA from 1 species
AAUAUUUAUUAAAAUGAAUGGUAAAUUACAUUUAUUACAAACAUUCAAUUAUAAAAUAUAUGUUAACUAUUAAAUAGUUUUGAGAAUUGCAAAAAUAUUGCAUACAAUAGGGGGGCAUCACUUAAGUUAAGAGCUUAAUUCUAUACAACACUUCUACAUUUUUAAUACGUUCAUGGUGAUAAUUACAAUCAGUGCCUAUCAGAGAAAUUCGGGGGCCCGGGACAAAUUUUUGUUACGGGGGCCCUAUUUUUCCCGAAUAUGUUGGCGGGCGGGGGGGGGGGG